CGGUAACAGCUCAAAUUUGAAAUCUGGCCUUUACGGGUCCGAGUUGUAAUUUGUAGAGGAUGUUUCGGGCAAGGCUCCGGUUUAAAUUUCUUGGAACAGAAUGUCAUAGAGGGUGAGAGUCCCGUCUAGAACCGCCGGCCGCGUCCAUGUGAAACUCCUUCGAC
rnacentral:rRNA from 1 species